AUCAGCAGCUGUGGGAGACUAGCU
rnacentral:misc_RNA from 1 species